rnacentral:rRNA from 1 species
AUGGGAGCUUGCUCCCUGAUGUUAGCGGCGGACGGGUGAGUAACACGUGGGUAACCUGCCUGUAAGACUGGGAUAACUCCGGGAAACCGGGGCUAAUACCGGAUGCUUGUUUGAACCGCAUGGUUCAAACAUAAAAGGUGGCUUCUGCUACCACUUACAGAUGGACCCGCGGCGCAUUAGCUAGUUGGUGAGGUAAUGGCUCACCAAGGCAACGAUGCGUAGCCGACCUGAGAGGGUGAUCGGCCACACUGGGACUGAGACACGGCCCAGACUCCUACGGGAGGCAGCAGUAGGGAAUCUUCCGCAAUGGACGAAAGUCUGACGGAGCAACGCCGCGUGAGUGAUGAAGGUUUUCGGAUCGUAAAGCUCUGUUGUUAGGGAAGAACAAGUACCGUUCGAAUAGGGCGGUACCUUGACGGUACCUAACCAGAAAGCCACGGCUA